rnacentral:pre_miRNA from 1 species
AAAGUACUCCCUCCGUCCCAAAAUUCUUGUCUUAGAUUUGUCUAGAUACAAAUGUAUCAAGUCACAUUUUAGUAUUAGAUACAUCCGUAUCUAGAAAAAUCUAAGACAAGAAAUUUGGGACAGAGGGAGUAGUUG